rnacentral:rRNA from 1 species
GAUCGGCCCGCGUCUGAUUAGCUAGUUGGUGGGGUAAAAGCUCACCAAGGCUCCUAUCGGUAGCUGUUCUGAGAGGAAGAUCAGCCACACUGGGACUGAGACACGGCCCAAACUCCUACGGGAGGCAGCAGUUGGGAAUCUUGGACAAUGGGGGAAACCCUGAAUCCCACCAUGCCGCGUGAGUGAUGAAGGCCUUCGGGUUGUAAAACUCUUUCGACGGGGACGAUAAUGACGGUACCCGUAGAAGAAGCUCCGGCUAACUUCGUGCCAGCAGCCGCGGUAAUACGAAGGGGGCUAGCGUUGUUCGGAAUCACUGGGCGUAAAGCGCGCGCAGGCGGCUAUCCAAGUCAGUGGUGAAAGCCCGGAGCUCAACUCCGGAACUGCCAUUGAAACUGUUUACCUCGAGGAUGAGAGAGGUGAGUGGAAUUCCCAGUGCAGAAGUGAAAUUUGUAAAUAUUGGGAAGAACACCGGUGGGCGAAAGCGGCUCCCUGGCUCAUUACUGACCCUUAGGCGCGAUAGCGUGGGGAUUAAACAGGAAUUAAAUCCCCCGGAAGUCCCCCCCGUAAACCAUUAAAGCUAACCUUUUGGGGCGACUUGGCUGUUUAAUGGGCCCAACCUAAACCAUUUAAACCUUUCCCC